rnacentral:rRNA from 1 species
AUUGAACGCUGGCGGCAGGCCUAACACAUGCAAGUCGAACGAGUGGCGGACGGGUGAGUAAUGUCUGGGAAACUGCCUGAUGGAGGGGGAUAACUACUGGCAACGGUCGCUAAUACCGCAUACCAUCGAAUGUGCCCAGAAGGGAUGCGCUAGUAGGUGGGGUAAAGGCUAACCUAGGCGACGAUCCCUAGCGGGUCUGAGAGGAUGACGAGCCACACUGUAACUGAGACACAGUCCAGGCUCCUACGGGAGGCAGCAGUGGGGAAUAUUGCGCAAUGGGCGCAAGCCUGAUGCAGACAUGCCGCGUGUAUGAAGGAGGCCUUCGGGUUGUAAAGUACUUUCAGCGGGGAGGCGUUACCCGCAGAAGAGGCACCGGCUAACGCCGUGCCAGCAGCCGCGGUAAUUC